CGAUUCAUCUUCCCUGAUAAUUCCCACGCAGCAACAGCGCCUUGGCUUAUCUUCUUCCAGCCGCAUUCUCUCUCCCUCGUCUUCUCUCUAUCGGCCGCGCAUCUCCCGGUAGAGCGGCUCCUCCCACGCGUGCUCCUCUGUCUCCCAUGGCCCUCGCAGCUCCCUGCGCGCCGCGGCUCUUCCAUAGCUCCCUCUGCCCCGCAGCUUUCCUCUCUCCCUGAGCUUCUCUGCUUCCCAACCGCUCCCUCCCCUUUAUCUCCAUGGCCGGUGCUCCUUCCAGCUCUCCCAUGGCGGCCGCCGUGAAGCUCCCUGGAGCCUCCUAGCCACGUGCCUAGCCAUCAAGUUCCCCUGCACGCGGAGCUUUUCCCUCCCUGGUCGCUCCUCCACUGCUCGUGCCGCUCCUUUUCCCCGCGCGCGCAACCUCCCCUGCUGGCCGUCCCUGGUGCUCCCUGCUCGCGCCGUGUCCCUGUUUUUCUUUCCCUCUCUGCUCAUCCUCCACUUAGCUCAUGGCGCAUGUCCCUGCUCGGAUCUCUGCCUUCCUCCAUGGCCGCGUCCACCACUUUCAGCUGCCGCUGUUUUUCCUCUGGUGCUCGCCCCUGCGUUGGUCAUGGCGCCUGGUUGCCGAGUCCCUGCUUCCUGCGCCCUGGUGCCCAGCCCCACGCGGCCUCCCUGCUCGGACCGCGUUCUUGGCUCCAGCUCGGCUCUGUCUUGUGCCGGCGUCCUCUACUCCAUCUUUUUCCCCAGCGCGCCCUAGUAUUCGCUCGCUGCUGCGCGCGCUCUCCCCUGUCUGCUCGUCGUGGACGCGGGCCGCUGCCCAUGCCGAGCUCCCUUCAGUUCUCCGGCGUCGCGCGCUCUCCGUGGUCGAUGCUCCUAGCCCUCCGCUCGCCGAGCUCUGUGCACGUGCGCCCCAUCCCGCCUGCGCUCGGACCGUGCCCUCGCUGCCUGUGCUCGCCAACCGCGGCUGUCCUGCUCCCUGCUGCGCUCGCCCAGGUCGCCGCCGUCGAGUCCCUAUGCGUGCAACCAUGUCCCUCUGCUCGCCGUGCUAGCCAUCUACGUCGUCGUCGGAAUUGUCUCCCCGACCAUCGUGACAUUGUUAUUUCCUGCUGCGCCGUGACAUCGUCAAGCUCCGGUGCUUAGCGUCGAGGUCGCUGCACUGUUGUCGCUCUGACUUCUUUGUCCUCGCGCGGUGUGUGGCAGUCGUGUUCACAUCCGCGGCAUCAGCGUCCCCAUCGUCGUUGAACUCGCAGACAUGUUCAACUAUGUUCGCUUGUCCUCGGUUCCGGCCAGGUCUCUCGCGCGUGAUUUUAAAGCUCUACGCGUUCGUCGUGCCGCGCUAUCAUCACCUCCUAUCGUAAACUCGAUCCCCGUAGACGUCGCUUCACCGUACUCGUUGGUCGUACGCCCUUGGAGCUCCCUGUACAGUAAAAUAAAUGAACCGGAGAUCAUCGUCGUCUCUCAUCUGCCAAGCCGAUUCGGUUAUGGUACGUGAAUUAACCACGUGAUGCGGAGAACCAGAACUGAGUCGACCAUAAGAUAUCGCUACGCGUGAGCUUCUCCAGAAGAUGAAGCUGAUGAACUAAACUGAAGAUGGACAAACGAAACAAGUAUCAGAACAAAAGUUGAUCGCCAAGUGGACGACAUCUAACAACACUAACCUAGUGUUAUUCAGGCAAGCCCCGGUGCAUUUGCCACCUCCUUGCGGUUUUAAAAUCUUUUAUCACCUUGUUUGAUGCACUAGGUGAUAGGAGUUGUGUGCUAAACCAUUGAUGCAUUUCUUUCCUUGAAAAAUUGAUUACCCUUCCUUGAUACCCUUUUUGAAAAGAAUUUUAUGAUGCUUAGCCUUGCUUUUGCAAAUAAAAAUGUUUUGUUUUAAAACAAAAGUAAUGCUUCAGUGGGUGGGAAUGUUUUUGUUGGGGACUUGUUCUCAAGUGCUAUGAAUUAAGAACAAGGCAACGCAGAAUGUUAAAUGUUAAUGUCCUUCGUCCUUCGAAGCAUUAUUUCCCUUAGGGUAUUUCAGACGAAGGUUAUGAAGGACAUACCUUCAUCAACGUGAUACAUGUUAACAAAAGAAGAAGCAUAUGAGAUAAAAGAGGCAAGAUAAGCAAUCACAUAAUAUUAUUAAUUCCUUAACAAUAUAUUGUUCUAGAAAUACAGGGACAAUGCUGAAUUACAAAUGUACCUUCGGCUUGACAAAAGGUAAAAAGUACAAGCGUGACGUAUGAGUAAGUACAAGUCAGCGUGAACAAUACGGGGGUAUUGUUCAUCUAUUUAUAAGCACAUGACACAGCAUGUGAGAAAUUACAGUUAUGCCCUUUACAUUUACUAUUGACUUAUAGAAAAAUCUAUGAGGACUAGAUAGCCUUUUCCCCUUUAAGUCGGUUCCUUUUUCCGCAAUUAGGCCGAAGCUCCCUAGCGCGUAGCUUCGGAGCAACGACAACCUUCGUCACGAUUAUGCUCUUCUCAUCGUUUAUGCUUUUAACUUGAGUUCGAAGGUACCUGUCCAUAAGCCAUGCUUGGAAGACAUUGUUAAAUUACGUUUUUGAGGACCUUCGGAGGACGAAGGCCCCCAACAGUAGCCCCUCACAGUAUUAAUUUGUUUAAGAUAACGAAUUCAGACUGCGACAUGGACGAAGGCCUUAAGCCGAAGGUCCAAAAAAACACCUUCCCUUUGCUAGAAUAGCAACAGUCAAUGACAGAUGGGACCCUCCAAUUUGUGGCGUGCCCAGCAUAUAAAUAAGAACUCGCACCAACCACAUUUGGUACGCUGCUUGUGCCAUUUGCUUUGUUUUCUCAAUUUUAUAGCUCUUGCUCACUAACUCUUGCUAGUUUCUCAAGCUUCCUAAGCUUCAGUUUGAAAGACACAUUUUCGUCAUUUACGAAGGAAAAAUGUCUCAAGACAAGAAGGUUGUUGCUGAAACGAAGCUGACUGAAGAGGAGAAGCUCUUUGAAGAGAAGAAGGCUGCAAAUCCUUAUAGCUGGGUUUAUCGAGUCAAUGGCCAAAUCAAAUACAGAGAAGAUUACUAUGGAGAUACUGGAAGGCCUUUCUAAAGAUACCGGUGACAGUGAUGAUUAUGAUGCUAAAAGCGGGGGAGAAGAUGCUGAGGAUCGGCCGUGGAGGCCAACUCAUACAUUUUUUGGGAAAUCUACAAUUAAACAGAGUCAUCUUGACAAUAUGAGAGGAAGGUACUUUCAAGAUAUGUCUAUUGUGAGAGUUGGUGGAGACAACAACGUCCCUGCCCCUGAGGAAGACGAAGUUGUGAUUUACCGAAGUUUCUUCAAAGCUGGGCUUCGGUUUCCAUUGAGCAGGUUUGUGGUCGAAGUGUUGAAAAUUUAUCAGAUUUAAUUUCAUCAGAUAACCCCCGAAGCUAUUUUUAGAAUGGGGAUUUUUGUUUGGGCUGUGAGAAGCCAAGGACGGGAGCCAAGCGCGAAAUGCUUUUGCAGCAUGCAUGAACUUGCAUAUGAGACGAAGGCCAUGGGCAAGGAACAAUAUCAUAACAACUUUGGUUGUUAUGGAUUUAUCGCCCGCCCCAACGCAAGCUACUCGAUGCCAACAUACCGGAAAAGGUGGCCCGGGGCCUGGAUGGAGGAAUGGUUUUACGUGAAGAAUGACUUGAAGGCAAGAGAAGAUAUUAAGGAAGUUAUUAUGCGCCCCAUUUGGUCCCGCUUCGGUCUCCGAAGGUCGAAGGUUCAAAUUGACGAAACUGUCGAAGCAUGUCAAAAGGCAUUUGGUACUGUCUGUUUCUUUAUUGGUACGAGAGAUUUGGUUCAAGAGCACAUAGCAUACAGAGUAUGGCCGCUUAUAGAGAGCUGGGAAAUGCCGAAGGAGACCCUCACCGAAUCUAGUGAAGGUGAACUAGUCCGGCUGAAGUACACAUUCAGAUACGGGGAUAAAUUCGAUGAACCAAAUGAUGACUGGCUAAAAUGCAUCGAAGUUACCAGUGAUGAACUGCUUGGAUCAUAUUCCAAGGCGGAAGACAAUGCAUUAUCCACAGCCUUCGGAGGCCGGGGAAAAAGAGAUUGAAUAGAGUUUUUGAUGCCAUUGGUUUCGUCUACCCCGACUACCGCUAUCCACUGUGAGGUCAGGGAAAGAAGAGGAAAACUGCUGCUUCGGCCACUCCAGACGAUCCUAUGCUGAAGGGCAAAAAGUUGAAGGUCCUUACCCACCGGCCACGCUAUAUUGAACCGGCCGUGGUGCCUGAGUUUGGCGGGGAGGCUUCUUCAGCUGCUGAACGAAGAGAACCCAUUCCUCCUACGCAGAAGGCUGGAGAGCCGGCUAUAAUGCCGAAGGCAGCUUCGGUUGAUCUAGCUAAGUCGAAGACUGAGAAAGAUAAGGCUAAAAAACCAAAUAUUGAAGAAACAAAAGCGCUAGAAAUUUUAAGCCCUUCAUCAGAAGUAACAGUGCCGAAGGCACAAAAAAGUUCUGCUGCAACUCCCAAGAGGAGAAGGAUGGCAAAUGUAUUAGAUGUGUUGGAAACAAUAAAGACUUUGAACUCUACUCCUUCAAGAAAAACUGCCGAGGCUUCAAAAGCACAAACCGAAGCUGAAACAAAGCCGGCCGAAAUUGAAGCUGUAGUAAUCCAAGCUGGUACCGAAGCUGGGCCUUCAAAGCCCGCUGAGAAAAAGCCUUCGGAAAUUGAAGAAAAGGCAACAUAAGAAAAGGCUACAGAGCAAAUUUCGCCUGAAAAGGUUGCCACUCCUGCUCCCGAAGCUUUAAAAGAGAGCAUUGAUUACAUGAUCCGCCAUGCUUCGGGAAAGGGACUCUCUAAGGAAGAAGAACGAGAAGCUCAACAUUAUGCCCAAAAACUGAAAUACCCGAAGGGGGCAUUAGUGUUCAACGACAGCGGGGAGGAAGAUUUUUUGUACUGUCUCCCAGAUAGUAAAGAGAUAUCCGUCUGCCGGGAGAUGGGUAGAAGCUUCGGAUUUCCGAAGCUAGAAGAUGGCCUUUCAAUACUAUCAAAGGAUGAAUUGGCUGACAGCUUAGCAUAUAAUAGCAUAAAGGGCUUGAUCCUUAGCAAUGCCCUUAGAGCACAGAAAAACAUUGAAGAUGAAGGGUAUACAAUGGCUCUGAACAAUCUUCGUUCGGAGGUGAUUGAACUAAGGAACGAAGGUCUUGAAAAAGACAAGAUAUUAAUUUCAUUGGUAAACAAAGUAAAAGAAGACGAAACUAGUUCCAAAGCUCAAGCUGAGGUCCAAAAGAAUGAAAUCGAAGACCUUCGAAAACAACUAGCAGAGGCCAAAGAAAAAUGCGCUGUCGCUAAAGCUAAUCGAGAUGCCAGCGAAUAUUGGAAAAAUUAUUUACAAAAGACAGUUGAAGAGCUUCGUGCAUCCAAGGAAAGAUGUUUUGAAAAAUCUUUGGGCUGCGUGGAGAAGAUAAAGACUAGCUUCGCCAACGUGAGCGCCUAUUCAAACGAAGAUAACUUCAUACGAGGCGACCCUGAGGGUGUUAUCGAGUGGAUCAGCGGUGAAGCCGAAGCUUUUGAGGAAAUUUUAAGUGAUCGUGGGGACAUCUGCACGUUCUCUGGUGCGAGAGGAAUUUCAGUCGUCUUGGAGAAGGUGGGUUGCAAUCAUGUUAAAACCUUGGCCCAGGCCGAAGCUGCCUUCUCAGUAGAUGACACGAAGGACCCCUCGGCCGAAGCAAGUUUAAUAGGCGGAAAAAUUUUCACUCAUAUCUGGGAAAAUGAUGGCCGAGAAAUGGCUCACGAUAUAAUGAAGAAAAGUGAAAAAGAUAUUCAUGACGCUCGAGAAGCGACUAAAAAAGCUGAAGAAGCUGCCGAACGCGAGAGACGGAUAGCUGAAUUACCUCCUCCACCGGAGCUGUUCGACCCACUGACCGACCCAGAAACAAAGAGAGCAAUAGAAAUCAUCAAUAUGGCCGAAGCUAUUGUUGACGAAGUUGUUAAUAAAUUGCUUAACGAAGUUGCAGAGAAAGUUCUGAAAGAAGAAUAGUAGUUACUGUAAAAACAUUUUUAGGCUAUUAAUGUAACAUUUGCUGAACUAAGUCUGUAAUAUUUGAUGUGUAUAGUUUUGAAUCUAAUAUGUAAGUUGUUUGUAAUUCAGUUCUUUGCGAUGCAUGAAACUUUAUGUACAUACCGUUUUUGAGCCUUCGACGAAAAAACACCUUCCCUUCUUUUCAUGCUCCGUAAACAAGAAUGUUUAUGCUUCGUGAGAAUAUCCAUACUUCGUAAAGAACAUCCAAG
rnacentral:misc_RNA from 1 species